rnacentral:lncRNA from 10 species
CUGAAAUGUUAGGUUCCUUAGGAUUCCAACUGCUGAACUAUAUGGAGACAGGAUAGUUUAGUUAAAAGAAAAAUCUUAGACAAAUUAAAUUUAACAGAGUUUACUUGAGCAAAGAAUAAUUCAUGACUUGGUAGCCCCAGAACCAGAAUAGGUUCAGAGGGACUCUGUUGCUGCCACGGUGACAAAGAAGAUUUAUGGACAGAAAAAGGAAAGUGAUGCACAGAAAACAGAAUUGAGGUACAGAAACAGCCAGAUUGAUCACAGCUCAGUGUUUACCUUAUUGAACACCAUUUAAACAGUUGGACGGCCUUGACUGGCCAAAACUUGAUGAUUGGCACAACAGCAAGUUACAGUCUGUUCACACAUCCAUUAGGUUACAGCUCACUAUGUAUGAAGAAACCUUUAGGAUGAACUUAAAAUAUAUAAGGAGGGAGCUUUAGGCUAAACUUAACAGUGGACAAGAUUUGACUCUGCUACUACGUCACCUUGUGGUUUUGGGUAAAUCAGUUUCUCUGGUUCUCAGUUUCCAUAUCUGCAAAACAAGGUCGUUUUAUUAAAUGAUCCCCAAAGCCUCUCCCCCUUUAAGUUUAGACAUUCAGUAUACUCUCCGUCUUCUUAAUGGUGUCAAAUGCUCUGGAAGCCCCAGCAAACACCUGAGCUGCCCCUGUCAUCAUCCACAGCAGAGCACGGACAGGGAAAGAAUGUCCACAGGUUCCAGCUCUCUCAGGACUUGUCCACGGCGAGUGAGGCCACAGGAGGUCAGGGCAGGCACAGCAGCUGCCAGUUCUCUCCACUCAGGAAGAACAUACCCAGUGCUAAGGAAGAAACACUGUGGGGACAGAGGUGCUAGAGAAUUCUAAAACCCAAGCGGCCAUGGAAAUCCUCCUAAAGGCAAGGAGACUUGUGUUAGCUUCACAGGAGAGAUGGGCUCCGAAUAAGGAUAGUCUAUCCAGAAGUUGGGGUGACAAGAAAGACACCAGGUGGGUUAUCAUGGUGAAUGGGCUAGGCUGGAAGAAAAGGUUUUGUGUGGGCAAAAGGUCAGAAAGAUCUGUUAAAAGCAGAUGAUGAGGCCUUAAAAGGUUCCAGGACAAGGACAGGAAGGCUGAGUGAAUGCCUUGAUGAGGCCCUACUACACUUUGUGCCAUGUUGUAUGCCCGGGAGUAAGCAGCAGGCACAUAAUCGGUGCUCAAGACAAUAGGUGCUCAGUAUUUGUUGGAUGAAUAAAUAAAUAGGCAUCAACAUAUUUUUAGCAGGACAUUGCCAUUAUCCAAGAUGAAUUUAAGGAAGAUAAGUGGGACCUCCAUAGGCAGAGUGGACUGAAGGAGGCAGAGAUGGAACAUCUGUAUACUAGUCAAGAGGCUGCUAAACUGAUUCAGACAUAAGGGUCAAGCUGGGAUGUUGGGCAGUGCAAACUGAAGGGAAGAAACAUAUGUGUCGUGAAGACUUUCCCUAAACCAUUCCAUCUGGGAGGAUGUCAUUUCCAUUCAUGCAAAUCUCCAAGGAAGGAGACCCACCACCUCAUGAAUAAGAAUAAUGCAAUAACCCAGACAGGCCAGCACACUGGAGCAAAAUCCUCGGGCAGCCAUGGAAGCAAGAAUCCAACCCACACCAUAUUUUCAGUAGAAAUGACCACUAAUUUAUGCACAGUUUUUCUGCCUAUAAUCAAAGCUAAUUCUUAGUUCACUCUUGCCUCCUCUAGACUCAACAACUCAAAUUCUCCUAACUGCUUUCAGAGAUCCAUUCACUGAGUCUUCUCAUUAUUUCCGUUUUUCUUCCCUGAUCCCGCUCCAAGUCCCCUCUGCCUUAUGUCAUUUAGCUGAAUCGGAAGACCAGGUUUGCUCCAGUCACACUCAUCUGACAGGCCUGCUCUUUUCCUCUAAGUAGCUGGCAGGAGCAUAGCUCUGUUCCAGGAGGGGGACCUGUCCUCAUGGGAACAUGGCAGUUAUGGUCCAAGUCCAGCUGGCCAAGAACUCAGACUGUCCUCUCCUGAAGGUUCCCCCACAGAAAUCAAUAAGAGCCCACCUCCAGACAGUGGCUGGCCUCAGAUCUCAGAGGAACUCACCAUCCUCUUCCUCUCCAUCAUCCUCUCUAAGCUUCCCUGUCUUUGCCUCAGCCAAAGUCCAACCCAUCAGGGACAGAAGAGUAAUUGAUGAAGGCCUUAAGGGAUAUCAAAGCGCUAUUGAGCAAAACCACAACUCAACAGCCGUGCAGGUGCUUCCUGCGGCAGGGAGGGAAAGAAGUGUCUUUAGAAAGCCCUAAAUAACUCUAGGCAGGGAUGUCAGCUUGACAAAUGACUGGUGAGAAAUAGCCCUGUUGUUCUCUGGUGUGUGAUUCAUCCAAGGCUGUGCUGGGGUGGGGGGACAAGGCCCAGCCGUGAGUCCCACCGUUGGUCACUUGGGGCCGCUCUUCAGCUUGGCUCCAAGAUGGAUAAGAAGGCACUUUUGUUGGUGCUCUUGGCCUCUGUCACUUUGACCUUGUUUUCCAGUGGUUUUAUUUAGCGGAUUUGUGCUGAUUUGGUUUGAGCCGCAUUCAGAGGAGGAUAGCAACUGUGGGGAGACUCUUUCUAAGCAUCCGAAGGCCUCUCUCCCUUUGAUGUUAGCUCCCAGUGCUUCUUGCCAUCAUAACAUCAAAGACCAGGGGCUGCUCAGGGCAGAGGCCCAUUUCAUCUCCCUGUUCCCAGCUCCUCAAAGAGCUGGCUUAUUGAAAUGCUUGUCACGUGUUGAAUGGAUAAGUGAAAAUAUCCCGAGACCAAGGGAUAUGACAUGACAGCUAGUUUCUAGACUUAGCGCUGGGACCUUGACAAGGUGCACAGAGUCUCUGGGCCUCUGUAUCCCCAUCUGUAAAAUAAGAAGGCAAGCUCUUGGGUCCCCUCAAACUCAGACCAUGAGGUUCAGAGAGGCCUGCAGAGGCUGAUUGGGGCCUACACCCAACUCGCAAGGAGGGGAACAAAGGUGGUCCUGGGAAAUGAAGACAGA